rnacentral:rRNA from 1 species
AACAGCUCAAAUUUGAAAUCUGGCCCGUCGCGGCGGGUCCGAGUUGUAAUUUGGAGAGGGUGCUUCGGGUACGGCGCCGGCCUAAGUGCCCAGGAACAGGCCGUCCGAGAGGGUGAGAACCCCGUCCGCGGCCGGCGACCACGCCCGCACGAAGCCCCUUCGACGAGUCGAGUUGUUUGGGAAUGCAGCUCUAAAUGGGUGGUAAAUUCCAUCUAAAGCUAAAUACCGGCCGGAGACCGAUAGCGCACAAGUAGAGUGAUCGAAAGAUGAAAAGCACUUUGGAAAGAGAGUUAAACAGCACGUGAAAUUGUUGAAAGGGAAGCGCUGACGAGCAGACCUGCGCUUCGGUGGUCACCCCGGGGACACUCUCCCCGGGGCACUCACCUGGAGAGCAGGCCAGCAUCGGUUGAUCCGGCGGGACAAAGGGCCCGGGAACGUAGCUCCCUUGCGGGGGAGUCUUAUAGCCCGGGCUGUCAUGUCGCCUGGAUCGACCGAGGACCGCGCUUCGGCUCGGAUGCUGGCGUAAUGGUCGUCAGCGACCCGUCUUGAAACACGGACCAAGGAGUCUAACAUCUAUGCGAGUGUUUGGGUGUCAAACCCCCGAACGCGGAAUGAAAGUGAACGGAGGUGGGACCCCCCUUCUGGGGGCGCACCAUCGACCGAUCCUGAUGUCUUCGGAUGGAUUUGAGUAGGAGCAUAGCUGUUGGGACCCGAAAGAUGGUGAACUAUGCCUGAAUAGGGUGAAGCCAGAGGAAACUCUGGUGGAGGCUCGCAGCGGUUCUGACGUGCAAAUCGAUCGUCGAAUUUGGGUAUAGGGGCGAAAGACCAAUCGAACCAUCUAGUAGCUUGGUUCUGUCGAA